rnacentral:rRNA from 1 species
GUUGGUGGGGUAAUGGCCUACCAAGGUUAUGAUGGUUAGCUGGUCUGAGAGGAUGAUCAGCCACACUGGAACUGAAACACGGUCCAGACUCCUACGGGAGGCAGCAGUGAGGAAUAUUGCGCAAUGGGGGCAACCCUGACGCAGCAACGCCGCGUGAGUGAGGAAGGUUUUCGGAUUGUAAAGCUCUGUCGAGCGGAAAGAAAUGCACGAUGGCUAAUAUCCAUCAUGCUUGACGGUACCGCUAGAGGAAGCACCGGCUAACUCCGUGCCAGCAGCCGCGGUAAUACGGGGGGUGCAAGCGUUGUUCGGAAUCAUUGGGCGUAAAGAGCGUGUAGGCGGCUGGACAAGUCAGAUGUGAAAUCCCUGGGCUUAACCCAGGAAGUGCAUUUGAAACUGUCUAGCUGGAGUAAGGGAGAGGAAAGUGGAAUUCCUGGUGUAGAGGUGAAAUUCGUAGAUAUCAGGAGGAACACCGGUGGCGAAGGCGACUUUCUGGCCCUAUACUGACGCUGAGACGCGAAAGCGUGGGUAGCAAACAGGAUUAGAUACCCUGGUAGUCCACGCUGUAAACGAUGUUCACUAGGUGUUGGGGGUAUUGACCCUUUCAGU